rnacentral:hammerhead_ribozyme from 1 species
GUGCUGAUGAAGAGUCCAAAACUAGGACGAAAUAGCUGUCAAGUAC